GUAUUUCUGAUUUUCUAGAGAUUCAGAAUCAAUUCAUUGGGCAAACGGUCCAGCAUGCAAUUGAGGCGUGCCAACUGCAUGACGGAUGGGCCCUGUACAUUUGGGACAAUGGUAGGGAAAACGCAACGGAUGGGCCCUUGUACAAUUGGGACAUGCUUACAAGGGUUAUACAGGUAUAUGACCCUCGUCCGGGCCAAAUGGAUGCAACCAGGAUGAGCAGGCUACACACGAGCUUAUCGCGUCUCGCCUCCACGAUGCAUUGUUCGGGUGCCUAAACGACUUACAUGCUGGGUGGCCAACACCCAAGGAUAACUGGUCCACUGUUUUCCCCCGUUUCAUGGAUACCUCAAUCACCAGAGGAAACAGGUAUUUGUGUUAUGCACAUCACCAGGCACCAUGAUGGUGAGAAGCUACGAAUGCCUAUCACCAAGAUUAACUUGGCGAAAACUAAGAAAUCCAUUCUGCAAGACGUGAUGAAGCUUCAGGCCGACAGUUCUUUGCCAGCCGAUGCAAUAUGGUCAGUUCAUGCUCCUAGCGAUGGUUUUGAAGACAUCCUCUGAAUGCAUGCCAUUUUACGUGUCAGGCACAACACGCUUCAUGUCUUUCUCCAUAUGAGAUGAUUUUUGCAACCCACCCAGCUAUGUUGUACCUUCAAAC